GAGGGGUGGCUGAGUGGUCGAAAGCGGCGGUCUUGAAAACCGUUGAGCGUGUGAGCGUUCCGGGGGUUCGAAUCCCUCCCCCU
rnacentral:tRNA from 1 species